UUUCCCAUCAGCCAUACUAUUUUCCUCACUUUUCCUCAAUCAAGUACACGUUGGUAGCCUCUCCACCUUUUGGCCAUACCUAAAACAGGCAAUCUAUUCCACACUUCUCUGCAAAGCCACUUCUUUUGGCAAGAUAUUACUUCAACUAAACAUCAAACAUCACCAUUUCAUUCACUCUAUACUCACAUUUUCGUUCCACAACUUGAGAUGAAAGUUCUAAUAUUCAGACAAGAAAAAGCAACUCAGCCUAACCAACAAUUUCUCAAGGUUUCAUCUUGAAACUCCAUUACUUUUAAUUUAUUAUUGCAGUACGUUUAAAACACUAAUUUAUAUCAUAUCUGAAAACGAAUGCAUACAUGUUUUGCUUGAUAACAAAUUUCAAGAUUUUAUCUUUACAAACAAUGAAUCACUGAAUGUUUUAAGAGCAUCACUCAAAAAAAAAAAAAAAAAGAACAGAAUGGGGGAAGUUUCGAUUUCGUUGUGUGUUCUGAUUGACUGAGUCGGAGCUCGGCGGCGGCGGCCUGGCAGCUGCUGUCCGUCGAAGCCGGAGAGAGAUGGGAGAGAGAGGAGAGGGAGAACAGGGGGCAGACUUGAGGGUGAAAUCGGCGGCUGGCGGCGGUGGUUCGCUGCUGUCAACGACGGUGGCUUCCGCUUGCUGUAGUCGCCGGAAAUGGAGGGAGACCAGUGAUGGCGGCUUUCUUUCUUUUGCUCGCCGGAGUGGAGUUGGAGGCCAUAGAGGAGCGGUCUGUGUGGGGGGACCUUGUCGUAACAGAGAGAGAGAGAGAGAGUGAGCGGUCUGUGAGAUAGAGGGAGAGAGCGGAACAGAGAGGCGGCGGCAAUAGAGGCGACGGCCUCGCUGCCGUCGAGUCGGAGGGACGGGGUGAAGGCGGCGCCGCACCUGCUUGGUGCGUGUCGAGGGAGAGAGAGAGACUUGAGGGGAGGGAGGCGCAAAUCUGAAGGAGAAGAAAGGGGUUGGGGCUUUUGAGCUUGGGCCAAUUUCUGUUGGGCCGUUUAAAUUCUUUAAAUUGGUCUGGACUGCUCUUUUUAAUCAAGAUGGCUGCAUUUCCUUUUAUUUUAAGUGAUUGGGCCUGUUUUUAAAUUAAUUUUGGGCCGCGAUUUAAAUGUUGGGGCCCUAUUGUUAUUUUUUUUAUGGGCUGCCCUACAGUUAUUUAAUUAGAUUAUUAUUAUUAUUAGCUUAAUUAAUUAUUUUAAAAGAUGAUUUUGCAUAAUAAUAUUAUAUUAUUAUUAUGUGCAUAUUUUAAGUAUAAAUACUUAUUAUAUGUUUAAGCAUGUCAUGAAAUUGCAUUUACAUUAUGCAAUAAAAGUAUCUAUGAUUUAAUUGGUUUUGAUUAUAAUUCCAGUUAUUAAAGAAAAUCGAGUAAUGAUAUUGUUGGCGUCAUUAGCUCAAGAAUUAGUUUUCAAUCUUUACUAUUAAAUUUUGAAGUGAUGAAUCAUAGUAGUUAAGCACACCCACUAAGACUAUAAGUUAGCUUCAUGAGACCUAUUAAGAAUAGAAUUUCUUGUAGGCUUUCAGGACCAAGGGGAUUAGCGAUGCAUUCCCAAGUCAGAUUUCUAUGUGUAUGAUCCUCAGGCUUUGCCUAUCCAGGUGGGCUUACUUUCCAAAUGUAUAAAGUAUGAUUGAGUUAUUAAGCUCUAAAUAUUUCAAUGAAAUGCAAAUUUUUUAUUCAAUGAAAUGCAAAUUGUUUAUCCAAUAAAAUAUUUUGUGCACUCUGAUCCGUUUAAGGCUCGUAUAAGUUAAUCGAUCGAGGUUCUCUUUUGACCUAACACGUUAUUUGAGAAUUGUGUACACCUAUUAGCUGACCUGGUGGGUUGAUCUCCAUGUAUAAGGCGUUAUAAGGAUGCUCGACGGGAUGUGUUCCGGAGCAUUGGGUCCCAAAUGGAAACUUGGCUGGGUUACGCCCUCAGUUCAAGUAAGCAGGAGUAAUGGAUCUAUCGGUGGCUAUAAGGUCCGGGAUCACAGUGAGUAACGAAAAGAGAGUGUGACAUGUGCGCACAAAUGAAAGAAAUUAUUUUAACAUGCUUAGAAGUUCUUUCAAUUUAUAACCUUCUAAGUUAUGUCAAGUAUAUAAUUGGAUAAACUGUCUAUCUUUACAAAAAUAUGAAAUGUUUUAGAAAAUGCAUGCCCACUGAGUACAUUAGUACUUAGUCCAAAAAUACUUUCAAAUGUUUUCAGGUUGGCUGGUCGGUGCUGACGGGACGAGCUGAGGCUAGGGUUCAACUUCUUAUUUAGACUUCCGCUGGAGCAAUAACUCUUAUAUGUCUUUUGUUUCCUCAACUUAAGAUUGUCAUGUUAGUUUUAGAAUGACAUCUCUGAUCAAGCUUAAACACUUAACUCUUAGUUUUAUGCCAAUGAAUAGUGGUUAUCAGAAGCAUGAAACAAAACUUGUGAUCCAAAGGGACCUAGCCCGACUUGUUAUCUCAUCAUUCGGGUUUCAAC
rnacentral:lncRNA from 1 species